UUUGCUUUGACUUAGUGGCGGACGGGUGAGUAAUGUAUGAGCAACCUGCCUUUCAGUGGGGGACAACAGUUGGAAACGACUGCUAAUACCGCAUGAUGUCAAUUGGGGGCAUCCCCGAAUGACCAAAGGAUUUAUUCGCUGAAAGAUGGGCUCAUAUCUGAUUAGCUAGUUGGUGAGGUAACGGCUCACCAAGGCUGCGAUCAGUAGCCGGACUGAGAGGUUGAACGGCCACAUUGGGACUGAGAUACGGCCCAGACUCC
rnacentral:rRNA from 1 species